rnacentral:pre_miRNA from 6 species
AGCCACAAGCAGAUGAAACUGCACAGCAUGAUCUGAUCUUUGUUUUGGCAGUCAAUUCUGCCCUCACCUAAUAAGCACUCAUCAGAUCAUGCUGGCAGCUUCAGCUCCUAAUGGU